UACGUAGGGUGCAAGCGUUGUCCGGAAUUAUUGGGCGUAAAGAGCUCGUAGGCGGUUGUCGCGUCUGCCGUGAAAGUCCGGGGCUCAACCUCGGUCUGCAGUCGAUACGAGCAAACUAGAGUGUUGCAGGGAGACUGGAAUUCCGUGGUGAUAGCGGUGAAAUGCGCAGAUAUCAGGAGGAACACCGGUGGCGAAGGCGGGUCUCUGGGCGAACAA
rnacentral:rRNA from 1 species